GCGAAUGCUAAAUAAAGAAAAAGAAGUAGCAAAACAGAGCUUCUUCUAAAAUUCAAGAAAAUGCCCAUCACCAGAAUUGCAGUUGGGAAUCCGGGAGAGGCCAGCCAACCAGACGCCCUCAGGGCGGCUCUGGCCGAGUUCUUCUCUAUGAUUAUUUUCGUAUUCGCCGGCGAAGGAUCCGGCAUGGCUUUCAAUAAGUUAACGGACAAUGGGUCGACGACGCCGGCGGGUCUAAUAGCUGCAUCAUUGGCUCAUGCAUUUGCACUUUUUGUAGCAGUUUCGGUUGGUGCUAACAUCUCUGGAGGUCAUGUAAAUCCUGCUGUUACUUUUGGAGCAUUUAUUGGAGGGAAUAUUACUCUGUUAAGAGGGAUUUUGUACUGGAUUGCACAGUUGCUUGGAUCUGUUGUUGCUUGCUUGCUUCUUAAAUUCGCCACUGGUGGAUUGGAAACAUCAGCAUUUGCGUUAUCAUCUGGGGUGUCUUCAUGGAACGCACUUGUGUUUGAGAUAGUGAUGACCUUCGGCCUAGUCUACACUGUGUAUGCUACUGCAGUGGAUCCCAAGAAAGGGAAUGUGGGAAUUGUUGCACCUAUUGCAAUUGGUUUCAUUGUUGGUGCCAAUAUUUUGGCUGGUGGUGCUUUUGAUGGUGCAUCCAUGAACCCAGCAGUUUCCUUUGGCCCUGCUGUUGUAAGCUGGACAUGGACUAGUCACUGGGUCUACUGGGUGGGUCCAUUGAUUGGUGCUGCCAUUGCAGCCCUUGUCUAUGAUAACAUCUACAUUGGUGAAAAUGCACACGAGCCACUUUCCACCAGCGAUUUCUAAAAAUUGAAUCCCCAUUUUCAUGAUAGAAAUUAAAUGCCUUUCUCCUUUUUUUUAAGAUUGAGGAGCAAUAAAAGGUUUAGAUUUCUGUUGUAGUUUGGUUGUGUUAGGCGUUUACUGCUGUUGUUUGCACUUAUUUUAUAGCAGUGGAUAUCAAACUUUCAUUAGUUUGUCUUUUACAUGUUGAAUCAAUGAAACUGUUUUGUUUAUGAGUUAUUCUUUUCUACACUCAGUCAACUAAGCAUAUAAACUUGGAGAAUAUGAUAAAAACAUACAAACAAACUUGGAAUCUGUAAAUGAUUUUAGGUAUUUUAGACUUUGAUGCGACAUCAAAGCAAGGAAUUAUCAGGCAGGAAGCCAUACAGCCAAGCCAUGUGAAUUAAGGGAACCAUAACGGCCUGGUCAUGUAAGAGGUCAUCGUGCUCCAAAAAGUUACACUGGCCGCGGCCAACGCAGGAUUAAUUGCAUGGUCAUGUCUCUGUAUGUGCUCCAAUUGUCUGUUGAUCCAUUAGUUUACGUUAUAAAGCCGUGUAAUACCCCACUAUCGCUUGUAGUUCAAUAGGCUGUUGCUGGAUUAGUUUGAAUAUUCCAGUUUUGUUUAGGAUUCUUAAUUUAAUUUGAAUUCUUUUUCUUUAUUUGUAGAAUUAUAUUCCUAUAUAAUUAAGGAUUUAUAAACCCAUUCCUCU
rnacentral:misc_RNA from 1 species